rnacentral:rRNA from 1 species
GAUGAACGCUGACAGAAUGCUUAACACAUGCAAGUCAACUUGAACUUCGGUUUGGGUGGCGGACGGGUGAGUAACGCGUAAAGAACUUGCCUCACAGAUAGGGACAACAUUUGGAAACGAAUGCUAAUACCUGAUAUUAUGAUUAUAUGGCAUCGUAUAAUUAUGAAAGCUAUAUGCGCUGUGAGAGAGCUUUGCGUCCCAUUAGCUAGUUGGAGAGGUAACGGCUCACCAAGGCGAUGAUGGGUAGCCGGCCUGAGAGGGUGAUCGGCCACAAGGGGACUGAGACACGGCCCUUACUCCUACGGGAGGCAGCAGUGGGGAACAUUGGACAAUGGACCAAGAGUCUGAUCCAGCAAUUCUGUGUGCACGAUGAAGUUUUUCGGAAUGUAAAGUGCUUUCAGUUGGGAAGAAAAAAAUGACGGUACCAACAGAAGAAGUGACGGCUAAAUACGUG